rnacentral:rRNA from 1 species
CGGCCCAGACUCCUACGGGAGGCAGCAGUGGGGAAUAUUGCACAAUGGGGGAAACCCUGAUGCAGCGACGCCGCGUGGAGGAAGAAGGUCUUCGGAUUGUAAACUCCUGUUGUUGGGGAAGAUAAUGACGGUACCCAACAAGGAAGUGACGGCUAACUACGUGCCAGCAGCCGCGGUAAAACGUAGGUCACAAGCGUUGUCCGGAAUUACUGGGUGUAAAGGGAGCGCAGGCGGGAAGACAAGUUGGAAGUGAAAUCUAUGGGCUCAACCCAUAAACUGCUUUCAAAACUGUUUUUCUUGAGUAGUGCAGAGGUAGGCGGAAUUCCCGGUGUAGCGGUGGAAUGCGUAGAUAUCGGGAGGAACACCAGUGGCGAAGGCGGCCUACUGGGCACCAACUGACGCUGAGGCUCGAAAGUGUGGGUAGCAAACAGGAUUAGAUACCCUGGUAGUCCACACCGUAAACGAUGAUUACUAGGUGUUGGAGGAUUGACCCCUUCAGUGCCGCAGUUAACACAAUAAGUAAUCCACCUGGGGAGUACGACCGCAAGGUUGAAACUCAAAGGAAUUGACGGGGGCCCGCACAAGCAGUGGAGUAUGUGGUUUAAUUCGACGCAACGCGAAGAACCUUACCAAGUCUUGACAUCCCUUGACAGACAUAGAAAUAUGUAUUCUCUUCGGAGCAAGGAGACAGGUGGUGCAUGGUUGUCGUCAGCUCGUGUCGUGAGAUGUUGGGUUAAGUCCCGCAACGAGCGCAACCCUUAUGGUCAGUUACUACGCAAGAGGACUCUGGCCAGACUGCCGUUGACAAAACGGAGGAAGGUGGGGAUGACGUCAAAUCAUCAUGCCCUUUAUGACUUGGGCUACACACGUACUACAAUGGCGUUAAACAAAGAGAAGCAAGACCGCGAGGUGGAGCAAAACUCAGAAACAACGUCCCAGUUCGGACUGCAGGCUGCAACUCGCCUGCACGAAGUCGGAAUUGCUAGUAAUCGUGGAUCAGCAUGCCACGGUGAAUACGUUCCCGGGCCUUGUACACACCGCCCGUCACACCAUGAGAGCCGGGGGGACCCGAAGUCGGUAGUCUAACCGCAAGGAGGACGCCGCCGAAGGUAAAACUGGUGAUUGGGGUGAAGUCGUAACAAGGUAGCCGUAGGAGAACCUGCGGCUG